UCUUUUUUCUUUUUAUUUCUCUUUUCUUUCUCUUCUCUUACCCCCUUCACUCCUGUGAAUAGUCGGUCGCCGUCACCUACUCAAAUUUCUGGCGAUAGCAUGCAUCGCUUCUCUGGAAGCGUGCAUCUUCCCCGGCGAGAGUGAUUCCGAGCUAUAUAGAUGUUAUGGAAUGAAUUCAAGUGAUUUGGAGCUUUGAAAUCCGAGUUAAAGCCCAAGGAUACAAGCCGGGAUCGCGUUUGGGGUCAACGGAUGAUAGUUAGAGCGAACGAAGAAUCGAGCAGGCAUAUUGUGCAC